GACGAACGCUGGCGGCGUGCCUAAUACAUGCAAGUCGUGCGAACCACUUCGGUGGUGAGCGGCGGACGGGUGAGUAACACGUGGGCAAUCUGCCCGACAGACCGGGAUAACGCUUGGAAACGAGUGCUAAUACCGGAUACGCUCUUGAAUCGCAUGGUUCGAGAGGGAAAGCUGCUCUUGCAGCACUGUCGGAUGAGCCCGCGGCGCAUUAGCUAGUUGGUGAGGUAACGGCUCACCAAGGCGACGAUGCGUAGCCGACCUGAGAGGGUGACCGGCCACACUGGGACUGAGACACGGCCCAGACUCCUACGGGAGGCAGCAGUAGGGAAUCUUCCGCAAUGGGCGCAAGCCUGACGGAGCAACGCCGCGUGAGUGAUGAAGGCCUUCGGGUUGUAAAACUCUGUCUUCUGUGAAGAACAAGCCUAUGAAGAGAAUGCUUAGGCCCUGACGGUAACAGAGGAGGAAGCCCCGGCUAACUACGUGCCAGCAGCCGCGGUAACAC
rnacentral:rRNA from 1 species